AUUUUUAUAUAUUUCAUCCGCUAGACAAAGAUUUGGUCAUGGGAAUAAUUACUAGAAUAGGACAAGUCUUAGGGGCCAUUCACAAAGGAUGUCCGGCCAAAUGAUGGAUUUUCAGACCCCCCUCCCCCCCCCUUCCGGCAUUGUCCGAAUUAGUGACCCCCCGGACAUCCGCCAUGCCUCGCAAAAUGCUUGUAUAUGUCAAGAG